rnacentral:lncRNA from 1 species
CUUGUCCAUGCCAGGUUAUAACAUACCACUAAAGAGAAAGAGAAGAUUUUCUUGUUGAAAAGUACAAGCAGCCCUGAACAAUGACUACAUUUUCCAUUCUCCCUAGAUGUGCCUGGGUGAUUAUGCUGGCUAAUGGAAUAUAACUGGAAACGGCAUGUGUGAUUUCUGGAAAACAUCUCUAAAGGACAGGGUCUUGCUGUAUCACCCAAGGUGGAGUGCAUUGGCAUAAUCAUGGCUCACUGCAGACUUGAACUCCUGAGCGCAAGCAAUCCUCUCAUCUCAGCCUCCCAAAGUGCUGGAAUUACAGAUGUGCACCACUGCGCCAGCUUCUUUCUGGAUUAAGUUUUGGCAGAUAAGAGUGUUGGCCUCACACAGGCCGCAUCUGUCCUGGGGCUCAUUUGUCCUUCUUCAACCUCCUCCACAGUUAGAGGCUCCUGAACUACAAUGGCAAUGAUCGAAGAAACUGUUGUUGAAAAGUCCACGCCAAAUUCUCGGUAUGUCACUGAAGACAAGGACAUUUUGGGUAGAACCUGGCUGCUAAUCCACUCUUGUCAGGAGGGAAGAUUUUUUCUCUUUCUGUAGUGAGCAACAAGGCCACUCGAUGAAGAAACUGAGGUUCAUGGAAGUUAAAUAACUUGCCCACAGGGCACAACUAGUAGGCAGCUAAGCUAGGACUUCAACUGAGGUCUGUAAGACUUAAAGCACAUGCUAUUCCUGCUCCUCAAUAGCUUUCCUGCUAAGCACCAAGAGACGCUAGGCUGCCAGGAACAUCACAGCAGAGACCACCGUCAAUCAAUGCAUCUCCACCGUCUUUUAGACUUUCUUUUGAAGAAAGAUUUAGCUGCUAAAAGAAAAGAUGAAUAUACAAAAAGGAUAAUACUACCAUAUUUCAUCAUAUUGUCUCGUUUUAAUACAAGAAGACUCAUCCAGCUUAAACAUUUGAUGUUUAAGAAGCUAACCAGCAAGCUGCCCUCUGGGAAUGCAUACCAUCAGGUAUGGAUCAGUGGCCCUGAGAUCAUGUUCAUAACUCAGCAGCUUUGUACAAGCUGUCAAGACUCAGAACAUGGUACCCCAAAGUAUGGCACCUUGGUGUGCUGAGUACUGUGGACUGAAGGACAUCGGAAAUGUCUCAGAAGCUAUGUCUCUUUGACCUUCUCCCAACCUCCUGUCUCCUACCUGUCUUUCUCCCAUGAAGUGAGUCAUGGCAAUCAUAAUUCCUCUUUCCCAAGGUGUGUCACAGAAACUAGAACCCCUCUCCUCCAAGGGAAGCCGUGAAACCUAGAAAGGUCACUCUCUGCCUUCCCCCUUCUCCCUUGAAGACCCUCAUUCCAGAGGGGCCCUGCCCCAUAUUCAGGAGGGUUACACAAAGAGGUUAAGAAGAAUUUGAACAUUCAGGCCUUGCUGGGUUCCCUGCUCAGUCUAUCAGCAUUAGAUCACAUCCUUUAGUCCAUCACAUUUCUACACCGCUGUCCAUUCUUCAUCAAACCGAAGAAUAAAAAAAGUUUUC